GAGAAAGUAAGCAAGGGCAGACGGUGGAUGCCUUGGCUCUCGGAGGCGACGAAGGACGUGAUAAGCUGCGAAAAGCUCGGGGGAGGCGCAAAUAGCCGUUGAUCCCGGGAUAUCCGAAUGGGGCAACCCGGCAGGCUGAAGGCCUGCCAUCCCGUAAGGGAGGCGAACGUGGGGAACUGAAACAUCUAAGUACCCAUAGGAGGAGAAAAUAAACAAUGAUUCCGUAAGUAGUGGCGAGCGAACACGGAAGAGCCCAAACCCAUGUCGUCUAGGCGACACGGGGGUUGUAGGACCACGACGUGGCAAGAUAGAGUCAAGUGGAACGCCUUGGAAAAGGCGGUCAUAGAGGGUGAAAACCCCGUACACGACUGACGAUUGAAGCCUAGUGGCAUCCUGAGUAGCGCGGGGCACGAGAAAUCUUGCGUGAAACUGCGGGGCCCAUCCCGUAAGGCUAAAUACUCCCGAGAGACCGAUAGCGAACCAGUACCGUGAGGGAAAGGUGAAAAGAACCCCGAGCAGGGGAGUGAAAUAGACCCUGAACCCGUCUGCCUACAAGCGGUCGGAGCAUCGUCAAGAUGUGACGGCGUGCCUUUUGCAUAAUGAACCUACGAGUUACCUUCCCCGGCAAGGUUAAGUACCUAAGGUACGGAGCCGAAGCGAAAGCGAGUCUGAAGAGGGCGGCCAGUCGGGGGGGGUAGACGCGAAACCGAGUGAUCUACCCUUGGCCAGGUUGAAGGUUGGGUAACACCAACUGGAGGACCGGAUGGGUAAGCGUUGAAAAGCUUUCCAAUGAGCUGAGGGUAGGGGUGAAAGGCUAAUCAAACUCGGAGAUAGCUCGUACUCCCCGAAAUGCAUUUAGGUGCAGCCUCUUUAUAGUAUAUCGUGAGGUAGAGCGACUGAUUGGAUGCGAGGGCUUCACCGCCUAUCAAGUCCAGAUAAACUCCGAAUGCGCGAUAUAUAUUUAAAGGGAGUGAGGGCGCGGGUGCUAAGGUCCGUGUCCGAGAGGAGAAGAAUCCAGACCACCGGCUAAGGCCCCCAAAUGAUCGUUGAGUUGAACUAACGAGGUCGGAUCGCAGAGACAGCUAGGAUGUUGGCUUGGAAGCAGCCAUUCAUUUAAAGAGUGCGUAACAGCUCACUAGUCGAGCGAUCUGGCGUGGAUAAUAAUCGGGCAUAAACGAUCUGCCGAAGCCGUGGAUGUCGUAAGACAUGGUAGGGGAGCAUUCCAUGCGGCGUCGAAGAUGAGGGAUGACCCUUGUUGGAGCGCAUGGAAAAGCAAAUGUAGGUAUGAGUAACGAUAAGGGGGGCGAGAAACCCCCCCGCCGAAAGACCAAGGUUUCCUGAUCAACGCUAAUCGGAUCAGGGUGAGUCGGGACCUAAGGCAAAGCCGAACGGCGACGCCGAUGGAAGAAUGGGUUAAUAUUCCCAUACUGCCUCAUGGAGUGACGUGGAGACGGAGAAGUGACAGUCCUGCCGGCUGACGGAAUAGCCGGUUGAAGGGUGUAGAUAUUGAUUCCCGUAGGCAAAUCCGCGGGGAGAGUCGAACCUGACAGUAUACCGAGUACUUGUACGAGGUAAUAUGGACGUAACCAUGCUCCCAAGAAAAUCCGCUAAACUUAUCCAUGCGGCACCCGUACCGUAAACGGACACACGUGGUCGGGUUGAGAAUACUGAGGCGCUCGAGUGACUCACGGUUAAGGAACUAGGCAAAUUGACCCUGUAACUUCGGGAUAAAGGGUCCUCGUCGUAAGGCGAGGCGCAGAGAAUAGGUCCAGGCAACUGUUUAACAAAAACACAUGGCUGUGCUAAAUGGAAACAUGACGUAUACAGCCUGACACCUGCCCGGUGCUGGAAGGUUAAGAGGAGAUGUCAUCGCAAGAGAAGCGUUGAAUUGAAGCCCCAGUAAACGGCGGCCGUAACUAUAACGGUCCUAAGGUAGCGAAAUUCCUUGUCGGGUAAGUUCCGACCUGCACGAAUGGUGUAAUGAUCUGGACACUGUCUCAACCGUGAGCUCGGUGAAAUUGUAGUAUCGGUGAAGAUGCCGAUUACCCGCGAUGGGACGAAAAGACCCCGUGAACCUUUACUAUAGCUUUACAUUGAAUUUGGGCAGACGAUGUGUAGGAUAGGCCGGAGGCUUUGAAGGGGGUACGCCAGUAUCCUUGGAGCCGCCGUUGAAAUACGGCCCUUCGGUUGUUUGAGUUCUAACUCCUAGGCAGGAGGACACUGUAUGGUGGGUAGUUUGACUGGGGUGGUCGCCUCCAAAAGCGUAACGGAGGCUUCUAAAGGUGCCCUCAGACCGAUUGGUAACCGGUCGUAGAGUGUAAUGGCAUAAGGGCGCUUGACUGGGAGAGAUACAACUCGAUCAGGUAGGAAACUAGAGCAUAGUGAUCCGGUGGUUCCGCAUGGAAGGGCCAUCGCUCAAAGGAUAAAAGGUACUCCGGGGAUAACAGGCUGAUCAUUCCCAAGAGCUCAUAUCGACGGAAUGGUUUGGCACCUCGAUGUCGGCUCGUCACAUCCUGGGGCUGGAGAAGGUCCCAAGGGUUGGGCUGUUCGCCCAUUAAAGUGGCACGCGAGCUGGGUUCAGAACGUCGUGAGACAGUUCGGUCUCUAUCUAUCGUGGGCGCAGGAGAUUUGAGGGGCUCUGACACUAGUACGAGAGGACCGUGUUGGACGUACCACUGGUUUACCGGUUGUCCCGCCAGGGGCACCGCCGGGUAUCUAAGUACGGAUCGGAUAAGUGCUGAAAGCAUCUAAGUACGAAGCCGGCCUCAAGAUUAGAUCUCCCUCAAGGGUGGUUAUAGACGAUGACCUUGAUAGGCCACAGGUGUAAGGGCGGCGACGUCCGAGCCGAGUGGUACUAAUAGCCCGGGACUUUCCUCA
rnacentral:rRNA from 1 species